rnacentral:rRNA from 1 species
UACGUAGGGGGCAAGCGUUGUCCGGAAUUAUUGGGCGUAAAGAGCUUGUAGGCGGUUUGUCGCGUCUGCCGUGAAAAUCCGGGGCUCAACCCCGGACUUGCAGUGGGUACGGGCAGACUGGAGUGUGGUAGGGGAGACUGGAAUUCCUGGUGUAGCGGUGGAAUGCGCAGAUAUCAGGAGGAACACCGAUGGCGAAGGCAGGUCUCUGGGCCACUACUGACGCUGAGAAGCGAAAGCAUGGGGAGCGAACAGG